rnacentral:rRNA from 1 species
AACGAACGCUGGCGGCAGGCUUAACACAUGCAAGUCGAACGGAAAGGCCCUUCGGGGUACUCGAGUGGCGAACGGGUGAGUAACACGUGGGUGAUCUGCCCUGCACUUUGGGAUAAGCCUGGGAAACUGGGUCUAAUACCGAAUAGGACCACGCGCUUCAUGGUGUGUGGUGGAAAGCUUUUGCGGUGUGGGAUGGGCCCGCGGCCUAUCAGCUUGUUGGUGGGGUAAUGGCCUACCAAGGCGACGACGGUUAGCCGGCCUGAGAGGGUGACCGGCAACGCUGGGACUGAGAUACGGCCCAGACUCCUACGGGAGGCAGCAGUGGGGAAUAUUGCACAAUGGGCGCAAGCCUGAUGCAGCGACGCCGCGUGAGGGAUGACGGCCUUCGGGUUGUAAACCUCUUCCGCCAGGGACGAAGCGCAAGUGACGGUACCUGGAGAAGAAGGACCGGCCAACUACGUGCCAGCAGCCGCCGUAAGAC